rnacentral:rRNA from 1 species
GAACGCUGGCGGCAGGCCUAACACAUGCAAGUCGAACGGUAACAGGAAGCAGCUUGCUGCUCGCUGACGAGUGGCGGACGGGUGAGUAAUGUCUGGGAAACUGCCUGAGUGGAGGGGAUAACUACUGGAAACGGUAGCUAAUACCGCAUAACGUCGCAAGACCAAAGAGGGGGACCUUCGGGCCUCUUGCCAUCAGAUGUGCCCAGAUGGGAUUAGCUUGUUGGUGGGGUAACGGCUCACCAAGGCGACGAUCCCUAGCUGGUCUGAGAGGAUGACCAGCCACGACUGGAACUGAGACACGGUCCAGACUCCUACGGGAGGCAGCAGUGGGGAAUAUUGCACAAUGGGCGCAAGCCUGAUGCAGCCAUGCCGCGUGUAUUGAAGAAGGCCUUCGGGUUGUAAAGUACUUUCAGCGGGGAGGAAGGUGUUGUGGUUAAUAACCGCAGCAAUUGACGUUACCCGCAGAAGAAGCACCGGCUAACUCCGUGCCAGCAGCAGC